rnacentral:lncRNA from 10 species
CCAGGGCUUUCAUCAACCCAGGAAAACGUUAGAUGCAAUCUAUCCGGCAGGGGGCACCAAGGAACCCCAAACAGCUGUCACUUCCUGCAAAGCGGCCUGGAUGAAAUCAGAUGGACCAGGGAACUUAGGGGUACCUGGAAAUCCAAGACAGUGUGCCCAUUCCCCUGGAGACUGGGGAAGGCAGCAAAAGAGCACGAGUGCCCACAGCCCUGCCUUGGCUGCCUGACUCAGAGGCUUGCUGCCUUGCAGCCUCUAAAGGUGUGCUCCACAGGCGAACACCCCAAGCCUCUGCAUGCAUGCCCCAGGUAGGCAUGUGGAUGGUGCAGGCAUGUGUGUGCUGGGCCAGCUGCAGGCAGGGCUCAGGGCUGGCUCCAC